UACAACUUUCAGCAACGGAUCUCUUGGCUCUCGCGUCGAUGAAGAACGCAGCGAAAUGCGAUAAGUAAUGUGAAUUGCAGAAUUCAGUGAAUCAUCGAAUCUUUGAACGCACCUUGCGCUCCUUGGUAUUCCGAGGAGCAUGCCUGUUUGAGUGUCAUGAAAUUCUCAACCUAUGAGCCUUUGCGGGUUUGUAGGAUUGGACUUGGAGGUCUGUCGGCUUGCGUCGGCUCCUCUCAAAUGCAUUAGCUCGAUUCCUUGCGGAUCGGCUCUCGGUGUGAUAGUUUUUUGCGCCGCGACCGUGAAGCGUUUGGCGAGCUUCUAACGGUCUCUUAGGAGACAAUGAAACUGAACUCUGACCUCAAAUCAGGUAGGACUACCCGCUGAACUUAAGCAUAUCAAUAAGCGGAGGAAAAGAAACUAACGAGGAUUCCCCUAGUAACUGCGAGUGAAGCGGGAAAAGCUCAAAUUUAAAAUCUGGCGGUCUUUGGCCGUCCGAGUUGUAGUCUGGAGAAGCGUCUUCCGUGC
rnacentral:rRNA from 1 species